AUUGAACGCUGGCGGCAGGCCUAACCCAUGCAAGUCGAACGAGUGGCGGACGGGUGAGUAAUGUCUGGUAAACUGCCUGAUGGAGGGGGAUAACUACUGGAAACGGUAGCUAAUACCGCAUACUAUCAGCUGAGCCUAGGUCGGAUUAGCUAGUUGGUGGGGUAAAGGCCUACCAAGGCGACGAUCCGUAACUGGUCUGAGAGGAUGAUCAGUCAAACUGGAACUGAGACACGGUCCAGACUCCUACGGGAGGCAGCAGUGGGGAAUAUUGGAAAAGGGGCGCAAGCCUGAUGCAGCCAUGCCGCGUGGAUUAAGAAGGCCUUCGGGUUGUAAAGUACUUUCAGCGGGGAGGCGUUACCCGCAGAAGAAGCACCGGCUAACUCCGUGCCAGCAGCCGCGGUAAGAC
rnacentral:rRNA from 1 species